rnacentral:misc_RNA from 1 species
AGGGUGAGGUGGCCAUG